UCUCAUUUUUCUACUGCUCGUGAUGUUCAGCCCACAAGAGCUUACUGGUGAAGGAAUGGGACAAGACCCAUCUUUAUGCAAAGCCAGCGUUACAGUAAUGUUCCAGCAUCUCAUAAUCUAUCCUGGGGAAUUCAGCUGCCUCCCAGGGUGAAUACAGGUAUUCCUGAUGACAGUCUGCCUCUAUCUUACAGAGCAGCUUGUUGCUAUAUACCAUUGAAAAGCCUUCAGAGCUGAGAGGUACUACUAACCAAUAACCUGCUUGGCUCAAAGGGCCAGCACCUUCUCUCUAAAGCCCAAGAGGAGUUUGAGGAAAACUAGGUGUCUGUGUUCACUCCAGGCUGAAGUUACAGGUCUGAGCAAAUAAGGUGUAUAAAAAAUGGAAUCUGUCUUGGAGGACAUCAGAAGGUGAAUUUUCCAAGUUCUUGGACAACCUAGCUGUUGAAAAGCUUUCUGGGUUUGGGGGGUAUUUCAGAUGUACCUUAAAGUGUUAGCAGACACAGAUUAAGACACUGGGAGCCAAUGAAACAGCAGUUGAGGGUUUGCUGUGUAUCACAUUUCUGUAUUUUAUCACCCCCUUCCUGCAACAUUAUUUAUCUGGAAUCUACCUGCCCUUUUGUUUUUUAGAUACAAGGGCUUGGUUUUGUUACCCAGGCUGGUUUCAAGGCCAUAGCUUUAAGAGAUCCUCUCACCACAGAUUUCCAAAGUGCUGGGAUUGCAGGUGUGAUUCAUGGCACCCAGACUUUGCUGCCUUUCUUACAUGAUCCAGGCCCAGAACCCAAACUCAGGCACUGUAUAGAUGACCACUUUCGUAAACUACUGACCUAGCUUGUUGCCAAUUGUUGAUUGAACUUCCCAUAACUCCACUUCGUGUCUGUUCCUCUGUAUACAGCCACCUUCUGUUCCCGUCAUGAGCCUUUAGGUCUCCAUUUGCAUAUUGCAAAUACUAUGUUCCAUGUAGGUAGCUCAUUCAGGGCCUUGCUCUUCACUUCAAAAAAGGUUCCCUUGAGGACUGGCUGUCAAUUUGUGUUGCUGUGUUGGUUGUUGAUGAAAAUAAUAAAAUGAUUGAUUACAUA
rnacentral:lncRNA from 1 species